rnacentral:rRNA from 1 species
AUUGAACGCUGGCGGCAGGCCUAACACAUGCAAGUCGAACGAGUGGCGGACGGGUGAGUAAUGUCUGGGAAACUGCCUGAUGGAGGGGGAUCACUACUGGAAACGGUAGCUAAUACCGCAUACCAUCAGAUGUGCCCAGAUGGGAUUAGCAAGUUGGUGGGGUAACGGCUCACCAAGGCGACGAUCCCUAGCUGGUCUGAGAGGAUGACCAGCAACAGUGGGACGGGGACACGGCCCAGACUCCUACGGGAGGCAGAAGUAGGGAAUCUUCGGCAAUGGACGAAAGUCUGACCGAGCAACGCCGCGUGAGUGAAGAAGGCCUUCGGGUUGUAAAGUACUUUCAGCGGGGAGGCGUUACCCGCAGAAGAAGCACCGGCUAACUCCGUGCCAGCAGCCGCGGUAAUAC